rnacentral:rRNA from 1 species
GCGGCGCAUUAGCUAGUUGGUGAGGUAACGGCUCACCAAGGCGACGAUGCGUAGCCGACCUGAGAGGGUGAUCGGCCACACUGGGACUGAGACACGGCCCAGACUCCUACGGGAGGCAGCAGUAGGGAAUNUUCCGCAAUGGACGAAAGUCUGACGGAGCAACGCCGCGUGAGUGAUGAAGGUUUUCGGAUCGUAAAACUCUGUUGUUAGGGAAGAACAAGUACCGUUCGAAUAGGGCGGUACCUUGACGGUACCUAACCAGAAAGCCACGGCUAACUACGUGCCAGCAGCCGCGGUAAUACGUAGGUGGCAAGCGUUGUCCGGAAUUAUUGGGCGUAAAGCGCGCGCAGGCGGUUUCUUAAGUCUGAUGUGAAAGCCCCCGGCUCAACCGGGGA